rnacentral:rRNA from 1 species
AGCAGCCGCCGCGGUAAUACGUAGGUGGCAAGCGUUGUCCGGAAUUAUUGGGCGUAAAGGGCUCGCAGGCGGUUUCUUAAGUCUGAUGUGAAAGCCCCCGGCUCAACCGGGGAGGGUCAUUGGAAACUGGGAAACUUGAGUGCAGAAGAGGAGAGUGGAAUUCCACGUGUAGCGGUGAAAUGCGUAGAGAUGUGGAGGAACACCAGUGGCGAAGGCGACUCUCUGGUCUGUAACUGACGCUGAGGAGCGAAAGCGUGGGGAGCGAACAGGAUUAGAUACCCGGGUAGUCCCUGUCUCUUAUAC